rnacentral:rRNA from 1 species
GAUGAACGCUGACAGAAUGCUUAACACAUGCAAGUCAACUUGAAUUUGGGUUUUUAACUUAGUCUUGGGUGGCGGACGGGUGAGUAACGCGUAAAGAACUUGCCUCACAGCUAGGGACAACAUUUGGAAACGAAUGCUAAUACCUAAUAUUAUGAUAAUAGGGCAUCCUAUAAUUAUGAAAGCUAUAAGCGCUGUGAGAGAGCUUUGCGUCCCAGUAGCUAGUUGGAGAGGUAACGGCUCACCAAGGCGAUGAUGGGUAGCCGGCCUGAGAGGGUGAUCGGCCACAAGGGGACUGAGACACGGCCCUUACUCCUACGGGAGGCAGCAGUGGGGAAUAUUGGACAAUGGACCGAGAGUCUGAUCCAGCAAUUCUGUGUGCACGAUGAAGUUUUUCGGAAUGUAAAGUGCUUUCAGUUGGGAAGAAACAAAUGACGGUACCAACAGAAGAAGUGACGGCUAAAUACGUG